GAACUUCAAACAUAUCAUAUAUAUUCAUAUAAAUUACAUGUGUACCUUUCACCAUGGUCAAGAAAGUUCAUCUCCUUUAAAAAGUUGUGGUCAUAAAUAAAUUUGAUAAUCGAAAAUCGAACCUAAAGAUUGUUGGACCUUUUGUUGGGGGUAUGUUGCAAAUAUUGAACAAGAAGAAAAUGAAAUUGAUGAUAAUGAAAGUUGCACAUAUAAAUUCCAAAGCAUGUGUAUCACACUAAGCUUUAGGUUCGAUGCGCCAUCACCAAUCUAUAUAUAUUGGAUGCAAAUGAGUUAACCGGCAAAUUCCCUUCAAAAUACUUUGAAAUCCUUGAAGUGAAUUGCACAUUCACAUCAAACCUAUCGAUCAAGGAUAGUUUACAUAAUAAAGUUCCUUCAUUUACUCUCGUGCACUAGAGAAAAGAAGAAAUGACUCAAAUAUUUUUGACAGAAGUUUGACUCAUGUAACAUGAAAUUUGUCUCUUGUAUUUUCUGCCUCUAAAGUAUCUCUGUUUAUAGAGAUUAACAUAUGUAUUGGUUUGAAUUAAACCCAAGCAUUACAACCAUCUGACAAAGUGAUACAUUAAGUUAUUUAAUUUUACUACAUUAAUAUAACUAUUA
rnacentral:lncRNA from 1 species